CCUGAUGUAUGGGUGGUUGUUGUUUUGUUUUUGUUUCUUUUUCUUUUCUUUCUUCUUUCUUAAGUU
rnacentral:ribozyme from 14 species